UUUACUUCUCUAGUUGUAGGACUUCCAUUCAGCCAGCUUUCGGGCAGUUCUGGAUGAUCAUUGUUCUGUAUUUUAGUUGUAAU
rnacentral:pre_miRNA from 1 species